AAGUGUCAUGUCAUCAUGCCUUGUCACAAACAUCUCAUUGUCUCAUCAUCACCUUCAAUGACAUGGCAAUGACAUGUAUGUGACAAGACGUGAUGACGUGACACUUCAU
rfam:Glycine max cultivar Williams 82 chromosome 4, whole genome shotgun sequence.